UCCGUCUUUUUCUUUCUUCCUCUCCUCCUGAAGAACACCUCUCCUCUCCUCCACGGAUGACCGUCGGCGCUCCAUCACCACCGCUGUUCUUCUCUCAAUCUCUCAUUAACUCCCCCUUUCUCUCAUCCGCAACAGUCAACAGUAGCAGCUUAUCAAAUCCAGAUCUGAAACAAAUUCUAAUCAACCCCAUCACUGAUUCAAAUUAUACAAAACCCCAUAUUUCUUCUCGGUAACAAUCAACAGCAGCAACUUCUCCAUCUCCAUCUCCGGUAACAAAAAUAAAAACCCCCAAAUCUCAAUGUUAAGCUGAAAAAAAAAAAAAAACCCUAGAUUUCAAAAUCAAAAUCUCUGCAGAAAAAUGCGUGAUGGUUAUGUUCUGGUGGAUGAAUGAAACUGAUGGAAGUAUGGGUAUGUAUUAGAAGGCAAGAAGUUAAUAAGAAAUUUAUGGUUGUAGCUCAAAUUGCAGGCUCGAUUGGGUUCGAUUUCCAGCUGAUUUUGAGAUGGCAUGAACUGGUGGUGAAUUGAGUUUAUCUGAGCUCAAUUGGGGACGAUGAGUUUGUGCUUGAAUGGUUUAUGUUUUAGCUGGGCUGGAGUCCGAGUUUGACAGUAAAAAAUAGUGAAAGUUUGUGGGUGAUUUGGAUAAAUUCUGACAGUAAAUGGUACCAUGGGUCCGUAGGGUUAUGUUUGAGAGGAGACAAGAGGUUCUUGAGGUGAUGUUUUCACCUGGAAAACUCAGUAAAAAUGUAUGUCCUUGCAGCUGAUUUGGUGGAUGUGUUUCAAGGGUUUUUGGAUGAUUUAAAAAGACAAGGAAAAAGAACAAUGAGAAGUGCUUGAGUCUGAGAUGGAUAUGGUGAAGUUCUUGAGCUGAAAUUCAGCUGUAGAAUGUUGCUGCUGGAGAUUUAUGGGUAUUUACAAGAGUUUGAACAGGAGAUGGCAUUGUAGAGUCGGUAUUAUGGGUGUCCGGUGGAAUUUGAAGUUAAGCAGAAUACAGAACUGGAGCUAAAAAUUAGAUGGGAGUAUCGAUAUGUAAAAUCGGAUGCAAUUCAUGCGUGAUGCAGUAACAAAAAGUAACGCAUUUGCAGCAGCGCAGCAACCAUCUUAUGAAGUUACAGUAUCAGUCAAGAAAUGGAAGCGGAAACAAUAUAUCGUCCCAAAUGGAGUGGCUGCCGAAGUAGGGAGUGGCACCAAAACGACCCCAGCUUAGAGAGAUUGAACGCGGAUGUGAUAUAGUUGUUGCUACUCCUGGACGUCUGAAUGAUAUUUUGGAGAUGAGAAAAAUCAGCCUCCGUCAAGUUUCCUACCUUGUGCUUGACGACGCAGACAGGAUGUUGGACAUGGGUUUUGUGCCACAGAUUCAGAAAAAUGUUAAUGGGAUACCUCCUCGCCGCCAGACGAUGAUGUACACUGCAACUUGGCCCAAGGAACUGCGUAAAAUUGCUGACGAUUUACUAGUUAAGCCUGUUCUGGUUAAUAUUGGGAAUACUGAUGAGCUUGCUGCAAACAAGUCCAUUACUCAGUACUGAGGAGAAACUGUUAAAACAAGCUCAAGGUCAGGUGUUGCCUGUUGAAAAUGCCUAACAGGAUCUUGAAAAGGAGGUGCAGUGUGCCUAGUGAUAAUGGAGGAGAUGCGCAAAUGUGACACUUAGUGAUGAAAAAUUAACCCGAUGAACUAUGGAGGACUCACUGACUCUUUGCUAAUAUUUAGAAGAUGCAGCGGUAGCUGUAAUUCUGAAGCAGGAGCCGCAACUGUAGCCGCUUAACCCAAAGGGGGAAGUGGUAGUGGGUGGGGCAUAAGAAGCAGGUGCCGCAACCCUGAUACACUACAAGAAAAGAUGGAUUAAGCGACCAAAAUCUUAGCAAGCUCCCAGAACUUUAGUCGCUCUAAUGGUCAAGCAACCAAGUUUGCAACCACGAUAUAGUUUGCUUGCUUAAAAUUUAUUUCAGCUAUUUCGUAGCGACCAAUAAAGGUGUUAGGUUGGUACAUCACUUUUUCAAGUUAUCCGCAGCAACUACAAAAGUGCUUGAGUAGCUUUUUACUUUGAGGCACAGUGGGCCAGCAAUUCAAAACAUUUGGUUGGUACAAUCCUAUCUCAGCAACACCAGCCUUGCAAAGAAAAGUCGGAUUUUAAAAUUUGUGUUUUUUUUAUUAAGCUUUUUGUUUUAGCCGUUCUAAAUUUUGUUAUGUAAGAAAAAAAGAAUCAGUAUGUUGGGGAAUAAGAUUUAUUUCAAGGAUACAAGGAUAUCAUCCCAUUGAAAAUUUAGCAUUCAUUUUUUAAACCAUCAUCAAGAGGUACAAAAUUAGUUAUGUCAUAAAAAUAAUUAGUUUGUUGAAGAGUAAAUUUUCCAAAAUACUAGGAUCAUCCCAUUG